rnacentral:rRNA from 1 species
UACGUAGGGGGCGAGCGUUGUCCGGAUUUAUUGGGCGUAAAGAGCUCGUAGGCGGUUCGGUAAGUCGGCUGUGAAAUCUCCACGCUCAACGUGGAGGGGUCAGUCGAAACUGCCGUGACUCGAGUCCGGUAGAGGAGUGUGGAAUUCCCGGUGUAGCGGUGAAAUGCGCAGAGAUCGGGAGGAACACCCGUAGCGAAGGCGGCACUCUGGGCCGGUACUGACGCUGAGGAGCGAAAGCGUGGGUAGCAAACAGG